UGACGUUAUCUACAUGGAUCUUAUUUCUUAUUCUUGAAAAUUCUCAUAUGUUUUCCUUGAUAUAUUUUGUGGCUUACUAGUUUGGAUAUGUCAAAUUAUUGGUGAAAGGUAUAAUUCGUACUUCGUAAAUUGUCUUACUUUGUUGGUAAAAAACAUGUGAAAAUGUUGUAGUUUUUAUAUGGUACUUGCAUUAAGUUGAUUGUAAAAGGUGCAUGAAUUAUUGUUGUUUGUAUAUAGAAAUGAGGGACAAUUGUUUUAUUUUUAUAAGUUGUUUGGCAAUUUUUAUAAAAUCUUCCUACUGAAAGGUUUCUUUUAGAUGUUGUGGUCGAGUAUAUGUCCCCAAAAUUACCAGUAUAUUUCUAUUUGUAAAAUUGAAACCUAAAACAUGAUCUUUUCUCCCUCAUGUCUUGAGAAGCUUAGGUGUGGUUGAUCAAUAAUCAACUUUAUAACCUUUCUGUUUUUUCUUUUCUAGUGGCUUCCAAAUUUGCAAUAAAUAUUUACAAUUAGUUUGGAAAAGUGGGAAGCAAUUAUUAAAUGGAUAACUGAAUAAAUAGUGCUAAUAUCGGGGAGUUGGAUAUGAAUCAAGGUGCAUGUAUUACCUUUGGUGAUACAACAACAUAUUUGAAUACUACAAGUGUCUUACUAGAACAGGGAUUAAUUGUUGAUUUACUUUUGUGUCCCAUAGGAUAUUCAAUGAGUAAUGGAGAUAAAAGUUGGAUGGGUCUUCGAAGAUCCACUGAUGAGUAUAUCUGCGGAGUGAAUAAUUUUCUUGAUAAGGCAUGUGAACGAGCUUCCCAAGGAAAUGAAAUAUUAUGUCCUUGUAAAAUGUGCGCUAAUUGUAGUUGGCAUUAUAGAAAUGUGGUGGAGGAUCAUCUGGUUGCUUAUGGGUUUGUUCAAGGAUACACCAAAUGGAUUUUUCAUGGGGAAGGGUUUUCGAGAAAUAAUCCACAUCGAAGCAGUGAUGAUGAAGGUUCUGAUAUGCAUGAUGAUAUUGAUGGACUAUUUCAUGAUACUUUUAGAAAUGUUGAGGGUGACUUCAGACACAAUGAUGGAGUGAAAGAGGGACCAUCUGAAGAUGCAAAGAGAUUUUUCAAAUUAGUGGAGUAAGGGAAACAAGAGUUAUAUCCGAGGUGUGAGAAUUUCUCUAAAUUGAGUUAUACCAUUCGGUUGUACUUGUUAAAGUGAAUUCAUGGGUUGAGUAAUGUGGCCUUCACAUAUAUUCUAGACUUACUGAAAGAGGCAUUCCCAUUUGCUCAGUUACCCAAGUCUCUUUAUAAGGCGAAAAAUGUGAUAAAAGAUUUGAGUCUUCAUUAUGAAAAAAUACAUGCAUGUCCUAAGGAUUGCAUGAUACUUUGGAAUGACAACGAGAAGGCGGAGAAUUGUUCUGUGUGUGGGUCUUCGAGAUGGAAGAAUAUUAUUAAUCCAUUGACUAAUGCAAACUCUGAAGUCCCUGCAAAGGUUUUAAGAUACUUUCCCUUAAAACUUAGGCUUAAGAGGAUAUUCAUGUGUUCUGAAACAGCUGCAGCUAUGAGAUGGCAUGCUACUGAACGUCCCAAUGAUGAAAAUUUAAGACAUCCUGCUGAUGGUGAAGCUUGGAAAGAUUUUGAUUCCUUGCAUGAAGACUUCGCUAGAGAUCCUCGUAAUGUUAGAUUGGGUCUUUCAAGUGAUGGUUUCAACCCAUUUCGAACCAUGAGCAUUUCCCAUAGUACGUGACCUGUUAUGUUAAUGAAAUAUAAUUUAUCACCAUGGAUUUGCAUGAAGUCGGAGUAUAUAAUAUUGUCUAUGAUCAUUCCUGGUCCAUCAUCUCCAGGAAAGGAUAUAGAUGUGUACCUACAACCACUAAUUGCUGAAUUGAAGGAACUACGGGAAAUCAGGAUGGAAACAUAUGAUGCUGAUUCUAACGAAACAUUUCAAAUGUGUGCAGCCUUAUUGUGGGUUGUUAGUGAUUUUCCAGCACUAGCAAUGCUUUCUGGAUGGAUCACCAAGGGGAGAUUGGCAUGCCCAACUUGUAAUCAUAACACAUGUUCUCAAUAUCUCAAAGAUAGUCAUAAGAUAUGUUACAUGGGUCAUCGGGAAUUUUGCCUCCUGAUCAUCCAUCUCGAAGAGAUUAGAAAUCAUUUGAUGGUAAGGAGAAUCAUAGAACAACACCUGCUCCAUUACCGGGUUUAGAAGCUUUGGAAGAGCUUCGUGAAUUCAAUAUUAUGUUUGGAAAGGACCAAAAGAAGGGGCGUCAAGAUAGUGGGAGUCCGUGGAAGAAGAAAUCUUUUUUUUUUAAAUUGCCAUAUUGGGCACAUAAUAAAUUGCGACACAAUCUUGAUGUGAUGAACAUCGAGAAAAAUAUUUGUGACAGUUUACUUGGGACUUUAUUGGAUAUACCUGGAAAAACAAAAGAUCGUGUAAAUUCUCAAUAUGACUUGCAAGAGAUGGGAAUACGGAAGGAUCUUCAACCAAUAAAAGAUAACAAUGGAAAAGUUAAUUUGGCUAAAGUUUGUUUCUCCAUGAAUAUAGAAGAGAAGAAGUUGUUUUGUGGUGUUUUAAAAAAUGCCAAAUUACCAAAAGAAUGUGCCUCAAAUAUAUCACGAUGUGUGCAAGUGGAUGAGAUGAAAAUAUCAGGGUACAAGAGUCAUGAUGCUCAUUUAUAAUGCAUUACUUGCUCCAGGUUGUCAUUAGAAAAAUGUUGCCCAAGAAUGUUUCUUUGGCCUUAAUUAGGUUGGGGAACUUCUUUAGAGCCAUAUGUAGCAAAGUUAUACGGCGAAGAGAUAUUGAUACAAUGCAGUUAGAAAUCAAUGAAAUUGAAUGUGACAUUGAAAAGAUUUUUCCUCCAACCUUUUUUGAUAUAAUGGUACAUUUUCCCAUUCAUUUAGUAAAUGAGAUAAAGCUUGGUGGUCUGGCGCAUCUUCGUUGGAUGUAUCCCACAGAGAGAAACAUGUGUAAGUAUAAGGCAUUUGUUCGUAAUCGGGCUCAUCCGGAAUCAUCAAUUGCGGAGGGAUUUUUAGCCGAAGAAUGCUUGAACUUUUAUUUGAGAUACCUACACGAUGGGGUAAAAUCAAGAUUAAGUAGGUACCAAUACGAGGAUGAUGAGGUAAUUGAAACAGAGGGAGAUAAUUUGUCACCUAUAUUCCCUAAUAUAGGCCAUCCAAUUGGAAGUAAGAAGAAAAGGAAAGGCAAGGCUUUUUCUAUUGAUUUACAGUUAUGUUUUGAAGUACAUCGAUAUGUUCUGUUCAAUACUAGAGAUGAACAGGUGGAGAACUUUAUCAAAUUAUGCAGUACCGAUGACCCUUUUGUAUUGGCAUCUCAAGUGCAUCAAGUUUUUUAUGUGGAGGAUCCAAAUGAGGAAAAUAUUUAUUAUGCAAGGACCAAAAUCCCUGUUGAUUUGUAUGAUUUGGAGGAAGAAAAUUGUCCAAAUAUUGGAGAUACAUUUUGGAGUGAGCUCGACGACGACAUUGGUUCAUCAAAUAGAUUACCCGACGGUGACGUCGUAUGGUCGAGAGAAGAUGUACCUGGUGAUGUUGUUGAUAUGCCAUUUCAUGCACAACAUUCACAAGAUAUAGAAACAUCAGAAGAGGAAGAUGACUUUGAUGACACUGAUUGGGAUUGGAUGGUUCCUAAUUAUUGAAUAUGGUUGUUACAAAUUAGUUACGUGAAGAGAAUAUUGUCGUCCCUGAAUUUGUUGGUAUAGCUGAGAAAGAUUGGAGUCAUGAUUCAAGAAAGGACAAGACAAAAGAAAAAAGUGAAAAUCUCGACAUUCGUUAAAGUUGGAACACUUACAUCUUUGGAAAAUCAGAAAAGGUUGAUGCGGACCAGAAAAACGAAUAUUCCAGCUAGCUCUAUACGGUUAAAUGAAGAGCGUCAGGUUCUGAAUAAUUUAAUGAAAGAACAUCAGCUACCAAUGCCACAACAUCAGAGGCUAGGAGCCCAUUUACAAUGUAAUUCAGCCACCCCUACAACACAAUCAGUAGAGCAAGAAGUGCAAUUGGAUGCUAAUACUCCAAUAGUAGAUGAACAGGGAUCUUAUACUAAAAAAAAAGAAAAAGAGGUAAAACAAGGAUGCUAAGUGUACAUAGAAGGAGUGAACGUAAGUUAAUUGUGGUCAAUGAGUUUGGUCAAUUUGUUGGUCCUACUAAAGAUGUUGUGAUGGAGUUUGGCAGCUUCCUCGGUACAUUGGAAAAAUAUAAUAUUUCUGAAAUUGCAAAAAAGUGGACUCUGGAUGCAAUUCAAGGUGCUUGGAGAAGCAUAACAAUUUAAGGAACUUCUCAAAUAUUGGAACUCUGGCAAACAAAAGGUAUGUUUUUGAGAAAAAAAUUCAUUUAUGUUAACCUUUGUCAAGAAAUAUUCAUGAAGGAAAAACAAUUAUUUUCCUUUUAUGACAAUUUCGAAUUGAAAUUUAUUAUUUUACUUGCAGAAAAUGUCAGCAACUAAUAUUGAGAAUCGGAAAAAGUUAAAGGAUCCACACACUACUGGCAAAAAAAGCUUUGCUAUAGUCCGCAAUGAUUUGGUAUCUGCUCUUAUUUAUCAUUAAAUAUGAACUUGUUAUCAUUUUUAAGAAGAUAUUUUAUACUACUUUUAAUGUGUCCAGGAAAAAGAGAAAGAAACUUCUGAUCCACUAUCACUUAAGGAUAUUUUUGUUGUUACAAGACAAAGAAAACCCGGUCGAACAUACAAGGAAUCAAAUGAAGAUACAACUAGAAAAAUUGUGUGAAUUAUUUAUGUUUCUAUUUUGUUUGGAUGAAAAAUAUGUUCAUAUUGACUUUUUCUUUACUGGAAUUCUCUCUCUUUUUAUUUGUAUAAUAGGCUGAAAUGGAGAGUAUUGAAACACAACAAAGUGAAAAUGGUGAUGAGUCAAUUAAUAUAUUUGCAUCAAUCAUGGGACCCGAAUAUCCCGGACGUUUGAGAUUGUAUGGACGGGGGGUUACAAAAAAGUCUUUGAAAGGGAAAGUGGGACAUUUUGAACCCUCUUCAAAUACAAUAAAUGAUCACAUGCAAAAGAUGGAAGAGAGGAUUAUAAGAUUGGAGGAAAAAAUUGAGGAACAGAAGGAACAAUAUGAGGAACAAAAGACAAUGAUGAGACAAGAAAUUGUAAAAGAUAUCAAAGAAAAAGUUCAAUGUUCUGGAUUACCAAUUGAUGCUAAUAUUUUAGCAACAUUGUAUUCUCGUCCAUUGGGUGAAGCUUCCUCAACACAAGCAGCAACUAUUCACCUAAUUCAUCGACCAUCUCUUGGUAGCAACAAUCAAGGUGAAGAAAAUGAACAAAUGGGAGAUGAAAGCAGUGAAGACCUUACUUAAAGAGUAUUGGUUGAUCAAUACCUUCAGAUGUUUUGGGAUUGUACUUAUUUUUGAAUAUUUUGCAAACUUAUAUGCAAUCUAACUCUUGAAUUGUUAGUCAAUAUUCUCUUAUAUUUGGAUAA